UGGGGAAUAUUGCACAAUGGGCGCAAGCCUGAUGCAGCCAUGCCGCGUGUAUGAAGAAGGCCUUCGGGUUGUAAAGUACUUUCAGCGGGGAGGAAGGGAGUAAAGUUAAUACCUUUGCUCAUUGACGUUACCCGCAGAAGAAGCACCGGCUAACUCCGUGCCAGCAGCCGCGGUAAUACGGAGGGUGCAAGCGUUAAUCGGAAUUACUGGGCGUAAAGCGCACGCAGGCGGUUUGUUAAGUCAGAUGUGAAAUCCCCGGGCUCAACCUGGGAACUGCAUCUGUUACUGGCAAGCUUGAGUCUCGUAGAGGGGGGUAGAAUUCCAGGUGUAGCGGUGAAAUGCGUAGAGAUCUGGAGGAAUACCGGUGGCGAAGGCGGCCCCCUGGACGAAGACUGACGCUCAGGUGCGAAAGCGUGGGGAGCAAACAGG
rnacentral:rRNA from 1 species